rnacentral:rRNA from 1 species
UACAGAGGGGGCAAGCGUUAUUCGGAAUUAUUGGGCGUAAAGGGCGCGUAGGCGGCCUGGCAAGUGGAUGGUGAAAUCCCUCGGCUUAACCGAGGAACUGCCAUCCAGACUGCUUGGCUUGAGACCGGGAGAGGUGAGUGGAAUUCCCAGUGUAGCGGUGAAAUGCGUAGAUAUUGGGAGGAAUACCUAUGGCGAAAGCAGGCUACUGGACCGUCACUGACUCUGAUCUGCGAAAGCUAGGGGAGCAAACAGG